rnacentral:lncRNA from 1 species
GGCGUGUCUCAGCUGUGCAGGCUCGUGGCGGCGGGCUCAGGGCUGGGCACUGAGCGCGGGAGGUGGCCUCUCAAGGCAGGGAUCUCGGUGCCUCUGCACGCCUGGCACGGCGGCCGACACUCGAAUCAGUGAUCAGAACAAAAGGUCUUGACAAGAAGAUGCUUGCUUGUAAGAAGCAAAAAAUGGCUUUCUUCAAAGGAUGUAGAAGUAGGAUAAGAAAGUGAGCAUGAGAACCUGAAGCAGGCUUUUGUUCUUGCUGUCUCCGAGUCUUGGCGCAGAAUCAAGUAACAGAUUUCAAGAAGUUGGAAGCAUGAUCUACUUAUUCUGGAAGAAGAUAUUGAGGCAGUGAAUGCUUCUAAAAUUGUUUCCCUUAAAAAAAGUGCUGUGGCCAUGCUUGUGAUUGAAAUAGAAGAAAGGAUACUCAGACGGAAAGAAGCUCAGGAAAUUCAAUUUGACAAAUUCCUCAAUGUCCUAGAGACAGAGAAUUGUGCCUAUGGGAGAAAACAAUGCUCCUGGAGAGAUGAGAGCAAGCCCUGGAAACCCACUGACUGCCUUUGGCAGAGGUCUUGGAGAGAAUUGGGCAACACAGGCAUCCGCUGACUGACCCAAGGAAGUAUUCUUCAUACUACUCCAAAAUUGUGACAAAUGAAAACAGAUAUUCUCCUGGAACCAAAAGUUCUUCAGUCCAGAGCUCUCAUUCCACCUGUCUUCCUGCAUACACAUAUCUGGAGAGAGUGAAACCCCAAAUCCAGUUCCUGGUGUGUUAAAUGAGAAACUUCAGUGGAAUAGAAAGGGCUCAAGCAACUCCAGCACAGGGACACAGCUCUUAAAAUGAAGCAAAAUAUUCAUGAAAUCAGCUACCUUCUGGGAAUGAGAGAACCUUGGGCUAACCCCUUCACUUCUCAAGAAUAGAAGCUGAAUCUGGGGACUCUGUAAGGCCCCUCUGAUGCCCUGUGAGGAGUAGAACUGGAGUUCAUAUUACAUCCUUUCCUCUAGGUUCCAUUUCUUCUAAUGAUGUCACAUGAGAAAAUGGUCUUAAGUGGAAGUCACUUCACUCUCCUUCCUAGCACAUUUCGAUAAUUCUGAGGAAAAUGAGGUUCCCUGGGAGAAAGACAGGUGGGUACACUCAGACUUCAUUCUUGAGGUAUGCUGAUUCAGGCACGUCCUGCUGGAGGAAUCCCUUCUGUUCCCCCACAUUUUUUCUUCUAUGCAUGUUAAGUUGCCAUUGCUUUCCCAGGAGUACAAGAAGAGGCCUGGGACUUCCUCUCCAUCCUUCUUCAGUUUAGAACAUGUAGGUGUCAUUCCAAAUGUGAUACUAGACUGAAAUGUAAAAGCAGAGAAGACUUCUUCAUGAUGAACCUGUAUUUAAUUAGGCAGUCGAGCCAAUCUAAUUCUGGCAUGUGACAGAUUGAGAGGCAAUUUGUGAAGGAAGACAUUUACUAAAAUAAACACAAAGCUAAACUAAGAUGUUAAGUUUGAAGGUGAUGAGCAGUGAUAUAUGGUGCUAUUGUAUCCUGAGAGCCUUGCAAUUAUCAUUUCAUUAUGCCAAUUUUAUCAACUUAACAUUUUCGUGCUGGGAAAACAAUACUGGAAUAGAAGCUUCCUCCGGACUAAUUUUUGAAUAAAAUAAACUCAUAUCAUAACUAUCUUUUAAAAAUUUAACUAAAAGUUGUACAAAAAUUUCAAAACACAAAGAUGGCUUUAAAGUAAAAUUUUAAAGUAUGCUUACAUUAGAAAUUAUGCUUAUGGUGUUUUAAUGUGCACUUAAUUUGACUUAGUAAUUUAUUUUGCUAUAUCAGAUAUUUUAUUCCAAAUUUCAUCCAAGUAUAAAAAAUAAGUAUUAAUUGGCAUGGUAGGGAUUACUGGUUUCUUUCCAUCAAUGGUGAUGAAAUAAAUGAAAAUUAAAAGAAGGAAAUAUCAUCUCACAUGCAUUAAAUUUGUUUUUAAAAUGUCAUUAUUUUAAGACCAUUGUUCAUCAGAAUUUGUACUUUAAUUGUUAAGUCAUUUAUAAAUGGCUUAAAUUGUAGAAAUAUUUAGCACCCUAUGGUUUUGUAUAACAAACUCCCAGUAUCUUGAAAACUAAGCAUAAGUUCCAGAUUUUACUAUAUAUUCAAAAUAAUACAUGGAUAUGAAAGUACCAUGGUACUCAUUUAUAGUAAAAGAUAUUGAAAAGAAUUUUCUUGUUAUAAGUAUGUUUAUUUAAGUAGGUGGGAAGAUCUAAAAGAAAAGCAGAAAAAGAAAAACUGAUACUAUGUAUCAAAAUGUAUUGAUACUAUUUAUUGCUGUCAUUACUUUGCUCAACUCAGUUAAAAUGUGAAGUCUCUGGAUUCAUAAGUAAGAUGUAACAGGAACAAAAUGCAGGAUUUCCCUAAGAAAUAAGGAAGACUCAUCGGUGUCAUGGUAGACAAAAUAAAUCUCCUUAGGAAAAAGGAUUACAACACCGAAACCAUAAAUAUAAAGACUAAGACUUGAGAUGUGAAACUAAUGAGGCAACAUUUUGAAUUUCUCAGAAGGCAGCUGACAUUUUUAUCGGUGUAAAUGACACUGUUUCCAUGAUUUCCAAACAGUCUCUAACACACUGGACUUACUCUUGAAAUUAAUUUCUCUAUCCUGAAGUCAUUUAGAAAUGUGUAUUGAGAUGAACCAACUGACUAGUUCUUAGGUUAUUGCCAUCAAGUGUUACUACAUUUUGUUAUAUUUAACAUAUGGUGAAUUUUAAAAAAUAAUUUCAGUGGAAGUUUGGUCAGUCUAGUUAAGAAAUUAGAAAUUCAAUUACCAUGGAAAUAUGUAUAUCACUUUUCCUUUAGAGAGAAAUGUUCAAAAAUAUUUUUGUUACAGUUAAGUUUGGGGUAAAAUAUGUUCAUCAUAUAUUGCAAGCAAGUGUCUGUGUGACACGUUACAUCUAUACUUCAACCACAACAAUAUUAAAACAGAGUUAAAAACGAAUGGGGCUGUGAAAGUAGAUCAGUUGAUAGAGUGCUUGCCUGGAAUGCACAAAUCCUUGGAUUUCAUGCCCAGUACCACAUAACCAAGGUAUGGUGGUCCAUGCCUGUAAUUGUCAAAUCCCCUCACUCAAGCUGUGGAGGUAGUUAUAGUGAGUUUGAGAGCAGCCUAGGUUACAUGAGUCUGUCUUUAAAAAAAUCAGAAUGAGUAAGUAGAUGGAAACUAAACAACGGGAAAGAAGCAAGAGAAGCCUCUGUCCUAACAACAAUGUGAAAAAUAGAAUAAAAAAGAGAAGACCAAAUGAGAAUCCAGGUUUCCCAUGAGAAAACCAGGAAAGAGACUGGAGAAGAUUGGAGUCUUUUUAAAAGUAAAUUUAUUUGGUAGUAGACAUGAAAAAUAACAUACAUGUGCUAUCUGUAGAGUGGAAAAGGUUCAGGUGUAGGAUGCUGCUAAGGACGAUGGGGAUAACAUAAGUGAUUUCAAAUAGGGCCUCAGUAUCAGGUGGUAUCAGCCCACAUUGCAGCAGACAGGUGUAGAGCAGACAUGCAUGCAUAGCAUUUGUUUUCAGUCAGACUACGGUAUCCUGUGUGCAGAGCGGUGUUAUCGCACAGUAUAUUAUUGCACUAGAAGCUGGCCAUGAUGUCUUCCCAGGUUUAUCAGCAUUAUUGGUAUUAGUAACUAUUGGUGGUGUCAAUAUGAUUUUCUUAGACUUUAUUGUAUUGCUGUGAGAAAAUCACUGAUAGGGAAGGCUCAUGCUCAUUGUUUCAAAGGGCUCAGUUUAUAGUACUUUGCCCUCAUGCACUCAGGUAAAACAUCAUGGUGGAGAGACUGUAUGGCAGAGACAGGCCUUCACCUGUUGGUACAUAGGGAGCAGAAAGAAGGUAGAUAGCAUGGCCCCAAGGAUCUCUUCUCACUAAUUUAUUUCCUUUGACCAGGCCCUACCUCCUAAAGUUCCCCAAUUCUCACAAACCAGUGCCCCCAGCUACCCACAAAAGAUCAUAUCAUCAGCCCUUGGGAGAAAAUCUACAUUCAAACUGUAUCCAAUGAUUUGAUGAAAGCGAUGCGGUUUUAGUUCUGAGGACUUUUUCACAUAAUGACUAACUUCUCAACACUCAGUGUUGAAUUAUUUUUUAAAUCAUCUCAUGUGCAUAUAUGUGUGUGUAGGUAGGUGUGGCGGUCAGAGAACAUCUUUCUCGCAUUGCCUCUUCCUCCCCACCUUGUUUUUGAGUCAUGGUUUUCUUGCUGUUUCUGCUGCUGUGCUGCUAUGUGUGCACUCAACACUACAAUCUCCUAUUUGUACCUCCCAUUUUAUCAGAAGGGAGCUUGAUGACAGAGGGGUAUUACUGCUUUCAGCUUUUUUUCUUUUUUUUUUUUUUUUUUUACUUAUUUUAAAAAGUACUUUCUUUUAAAAAUCACCUUUAAAAAAAGGUAACUGCUUUUUCUCACUGAGCAAUCUCCUCAGCUUCCUCAAUGUGAUUUUCAUUUUAAAACUAAUAUUUUUCCUGCUUCCCACCACGUCUAUCCCAAGCUCUACAGCGGUGGUGAAAGGAAAGGAAUCGUUACAAAGAGGGGAUUAAGCAGAUCACAGACAGUCUGACUCAGAAGAACAGGGCUGAUGAGGUCAUUGAUUUCCAAACGCUGAAGGGAUGAAAAUCACCUGGAAGUCCUGUCACAUUUCACUUCCAGGGCUUCUCUUGACAUCCGGAUUCAGUAGAAUUGAACUGAGUCUGGGAAUACACUUUUGGAGAACACAAGCUCCCCAAGUGAACUUUAUCAUUAGGGAAUGUUGUGAAAUCCGGAAACCCUAAGCCCAACUCCAUUUCUUCUGCCAGGAGAAGAUGGAGCCAAAGGUUAUGUAUCCAGGGUGUAAGUCUGGAUGUGAGGCUUCCACUACUGUGUCAUGGAACUUCUCUCUUGCCUAACUCCUUUGUUUGUUUUUUAAAUUUUGUUCUCUGUAGUAUGGCUAGAUAGCUUCACCAGGCAGACAAAAUAAAUUUGAUGGAAAUAUAUAGAACCAGUCAUAGAAAAAUCUAUUGUAGGGAGCUGCAGAAUACUGCACCCAAAAGAUGGCGCCGGUUUCCGCCCUCCGCCAGCCCGACGGCGAGCGCUCUCUGUGGUAAACAACUCCAAAUUUGGUAAUGGGCUGGAGUAGGGGUUAUGUUUUCCAUGAUGCUGUUAGCCAUUUUUGUUUGCCUAUGGUGCCUAUACAGGAUCAAAAAGUCACAAAAAUCUCAAACUGCUAUGUUGGUACAGGCCUUUGCUGCUGUGGAAGCAGGACAGUCCCCUCAAGCAUGGUUAUCCAUGCUGACAGACAAAUAGAUGUCUGUCUCGCCCUUGCUGAGUGAGUGAUGCGUAUCUGAAUCAGUCAUGCUCAAUGACGGGCACCUACCCUCUUGCUGAGCGAAUAAGCAUACAUGUGUUCCCUUCAACCUAAGACAUGAGCCUAUGAGGGUGACACAGUGACUCUUUGACGGGUAAGAUAGGGAGACUGGGGUUAAACCUAAGACAGGGCUGACUAAAAUCUAACAACAGAUAGAUACUACUACUCCUAUAAUAUUAAAACAAAAAGGGGGAACUGUAGGGAGCUGCAGAAUACCGCACCCAAAAGAUGGUGCCGGUUUCCGCCCUCCGCCAGCCGGACGGCGAGCGCUCUCUGUGGUAAACAACUCCAAAUUUGGUAAAGGUCAUGUAUCCUCUUAAUUCUGCUUGGAGACAACCUAUCCUGGUGCGCCACGUAGGGUUAGUGAUUGGUAGAUGUAGACUAUAUCAGGCCCCGUCUCCCUCGACCCGGGGCCGCCGCCAUUAUACACUGUAAAAGCAAAGAGGUUCCCGAUUAAACUGUGUUGAAGAAGAUUCCUUGGUGUGGCGUCGUUCUUGCUGGUCAAGGGUGGACGCCGCAAUCUAUAAUUUUUUUCAUUGACAAUAUAUAUUUAAAUGUGUUUCACAUUGUUACAUACUGCUUACUUGUGGUGUUAUAUCGUGGUACAAGAAGAUUUAUUAAUUAAAAUAUAAAUGUGUAAUAAAAUCA